AUUGAACGCUGGCGGCAUGCCUUACACAUGCAGGUCGAACGGUAACGGGCCUUCGGGUGCCGACGAGUGGCGAACGGGUGAGUAAUGUAUCGGAACGUACCUUUCAGUGGGGGAUAACGUAGCGAAAGUUACGCUAAUACCGCAUAUUCUGUGAGCAGGAAAGCAGGGGAUCGCAAGACCUUGCGCUGAUUGAGCGGCCGAUGUCAGAUUAGCUAGUUGGUGAGGUAAAGGCUCACCAAGGCGACGAUCUGUAGCGGGUCUGAGAGGAUGAUCCGCCACACUGGAACUGGGACACGGUCCAGACUCCGACGGGAGGCAGCAGUGGGGAAUUUUGGACAAUAGGGGCAACCCUGAUCCAGCCAUGCCGCGUGAGUGAAGAAGGCCUUCGGGUUGUAAAGCUCUUUCGGCCGGGAAGAAAUCGCACGGGCUAAUACCCUGUGUGGAUGACGGUACCGGAAUAAGAAGCACCGGCUAACUACGUGCCAGCCGCCGCUGUAAAAC
rnacentral:rRNA from 1 species